rnacentral:rRNA from 1 species
UACAGAGGUCCCGAGCGUUGUUCGGAUUCAUUGGGCGUAAAGGGUGCGUAGGCGGCGGGGAAAGUCUGAUGUGAAAUCCUGGGGCUCAACCCUGGAACUGCAUUGGAUACUUCCUUGCUAGAGUACUGGAGAGGAAACUGGAAUUUACGGUGUAGCAGUGAAAUGCGUAGAGAUCGUAAGGAACACCAGUGGCGAAGGCGACUUUCUGGACAGUUACUGACGCUGAGGCACGAAAGCCAGGGGAGCAAACAGG